rnacentral:rRNA from 1 species
CUAUAGCCACAGCACCCUGAACACGCCCAAUCUCAUCUGAUCUCGGAAGCUAAGCAGGGUCGGGCCUGGUUAGUACUUGGAUGGGAAAAAAUAACACAGCAAACAAACACCACUGGGUCGAUCUUGU